UUCAAAGCAGUCCCAGGGCUGAUGGAUUAGUGGGCAGAGUUCAGCUGGCUCAGGAGAUAGCCUCUACAUCCCCAAAGGAUACUUGAAAGAAACUGAAACAAAGGACAGUAACCACAGGGGUGUGACUGAUUGCUGGAUCCAGACUAGAAGGAGGCUCAUCUGUAAAAGAAGCUUACAGGAACAUCUCUGAGGCACUUGUCAGCAAAAUAACUGGAUGUGGACUGCUGCUGCUACGUUCAACAGCAUCACAGCAUUGCCUAACAUUUCCUCCUGAUCUCCAUCUUCUGAGUAAACUCUUCAAAUACUGAAAGGUCUUGCAGAAUGAAAAAGGACAUGCUAGCAGCCAAAUCUGUACCCAUCCUGUUUCUAUUCCAAAACGCCAUCAGCAGUGGAGAAUCAGAGAAAGAACUGGAGUUUGUGUGGAGAAACUAACAGAUACUCCUGCCAGUAAACAAAUGUAAUAGAAUAUUCAAGGAAAGCAAACAAAGGUAUACACACAAGAAAGAACAGAGGCUAAAACAGAAGAAAAAAUAAAAAUAAAAAAUCCCCAAACAACUACGAACAGAAAAGAUAAAACUGAAGAAAGGAAUCAGUAGUUAUGAUGAUAUUGGUGAUAACUGGCACUACUUACACAGUAGUGGUAAUCUUCACUUCUACACCGACAGCUACUGGAGAUGGUUGAAAGGGAGCUCAUUUUAACGUCUCAUCUGGAUGAGUCAACACCCUCCUGCAGUGUUAGCAUUGGUUUCUGACACCACGUCCUGGUGAGGGAUCUGAAACCAAAGUCUCCUGAAUCAGAGUGGCCAGUACCGGUUACCUCAAAGAAAGGUGUAAAAUCCUAUAAUGGAGAAUUAAACAAGAAGAUUCUUUCUAAAGCUGUGAAGU